UUUUAAUUUUUAAAAAAAAAAUAUUUUUUUAGUUUUUUAAUUUUUUGAUAAAAUUUUUUUAAUUAUAGUUUAUUAGUAUAGUGAUAGAAUAUUGAAAUAUAUUGAAAUAAUAAAAUAUUUAAAAGAAAAAUUUAUUUUUUGUACCUUGUGUAUCAGGGUUUAUUAAAUAAUAUUUAUUUAAUUUAAUUUUCUCGAAUUUGAAAGAGUUAAAAAGUUAUAAAUUUUAUUGUUAAAUAAAUAUUUAAAAUAAUUUUUUAGUAAUGAAACGUUAGUCGUUUUUAAAUUUAUCUAGUUUUUUAAGAAAUAAAUUUAAUUUAGUUAAUUUUUUUAAUUUAUUAUUAAUUUAAAUUUAAAUUAAUAAAAUUAAUAAAUAUUUUAAGGGAUAAGCUUUAAAAUAAAAUUUUAUAAAUUAUUAAUUUUAAUUAUAUAAAAAUAAAUAGAAUUGGAAGUUUUUAUUAUUAAUAGUGUGUUAUAACAAAUUUUUAUAUUGAAUUAAAUUUUUAUAUAAUUUUAAAUUUUUUAUUAAAAUAAUUUAUUUAAUAUUAAAAUAUAUGAAAUAAUGAUAAAAUUAGUAUAAUUUUAAUGUAUAUUUAAUUUAAAGAUUUAGGUUAAAUUAAGGAAUUCGGCAAAAACUUUUUUCGCCUGUUUAUUAAAAACAUGUCUUUUUGAUUAUAAUUUAAAGUCUGACCUGCCCUAUGAAUAAAAUUUAAAUGGCCGCGGUAUUUUGACCGUGCAAAGGUAGCAUAAUAAUUAGCUUUUUAAUUGGGAGCUGGUAUGAAUGGUUGGACGAGAAAAAUACUGUCUCAGUUUAAUUUAAAUUAGAAUUUUAUUUUUAAGUUAAAAAGCUUAAAUAUUUUUAAAAGACGAGAAGACCCUAUAGAGUUUAAUAUAAUAUUUUAUUAUUUUAUAGGUUAAGUAUUUUUAAAUUAAUUAUUAAUGUUUAUAUCCUUAGUAGCGGUCAUCAAAAAAUUUAAU
rnacentral:rRNA from 1 species